rnacentral:rRNA from 1 species
GCCAGGUUACAAAUGUUGGCUGUCCAGAUGCCUAAAAAGCAUUUCAUAGCAAGGGCCGGGCAAGACCGGUGCCAGCCGCCGCGGUAACACCGGCGGCUCGAGUGGUAACCGUUAUUAUUGGGUCUAAAGGGUCUGUAGCCGGCCGGAUAAGUCUCUUGAGAAAUCUGGCAGCUUAACUGUCAGGCUUUCAGGAGAUACUGUCUGGCUCGAGGCCGGGAGAGGUGAGAGGUACUUCGGGGGUAGGGGUGAAAUCUUGUAAUCCA